rfam:Triticum aestivum genome assembly, contig: Triticum_aestivum_CS42_TGACv1_scaffold_225901_3B
CUAGUACUUCCUCCGUCCCGAAAUAGUUGUCAUUAAAAUGAAUAAAAGUGGAUGUAUCUAGAACUAAAAUACAUCUAAAUACAUCCUUUUUUAUUCAUCUUGAUGACAAGUAUUUUCGGACGGAGGAAGUACUAG